GUGUCAGCAGCCGCGGUAAUACGAAGGGGGCUAGCGUUGUUCGGAAUUACUGGGCGUAAAGCGCACGUAGGCGGGUCGUUAAGUCAGGGGUGAAAUCCCGGAGCUCAACUCCGGAACUGCCUUUGAUACUGGCGAUCUAGAGAUCGGAAGAGGUGAGUGGAAUUCCCAGUGUAGAGGUGAAAUUCGUAGAUAUUGGGAAGAACACCAGUGGCGAAGGCGGCUCACUGGUCCGAUACUGACGCUGAGGUGCGAAAGCGUGGGGAGCAAACAGGAUUAGAAACCCCCGUAGUCC
rnacentral:rRNA from 1 species